AUGAGGGUCCCUGUUCAGCUCCUUGGGCUCCUGUUGCUCUGGUUUCCAGAAACCAGUGGUGAUGUUGUGAUGACCCAGACUCCACUUUCAUUGUCGGUUGCCGUUGGACAGUCGGCUUCCAUCUCUUGCCAGUCCAGUCAGAGCCUCUUAUACAGUGAUGGGAAAACCUAUUUGAAUUGGUUCCUACAGAGGCCAGGCCAGCCUCCGCAGCGCCUAAUUUAUCAGGUGUCCAAACUUGACCCUGGGAUCCCAGAGAGGUUCAUCGGGAGUGGCUCAGGGACAGAUUUCACACUUAAAAUCAGCAAAGUGGAGCCUGAGGAUUUGGGAAUUUAUUACUGUGGCCAAGGUACACAUUUUCCUCCCACAGUGAUGUAG